UGCCUUGUUCCACUCCAGGGACCUGGCAAGGAACCCUGAAAGUGCCCUUAGUUCUGUGUGUGUUCUGGGAUCCAAGUGAGGCUUUGAGCAAACGUGCCCAAGAAACCACCUUGAAAACCCAUUGGUGGCUGCAGAGUCGCACUGCCGGCUGCGCUGCGCCCAUGAUGAGCUCGAGUGCUCCGCAGGACCUGCGGCCACGUCUGCCUGAUGGGGCUGAUCGAAGAGCGCGGAGAGGGGCAGCCCCAGCAUGACAGCGACCAGGGGGACGAGGAGGAGCCGCAGCAGAGGAGCCGGCAACCGGAGCUUCCCUCCUGGCAAGUGGUUUUCUUGUCUUGGAUUCUUGAGAUGGUGGCUGGGAGGAUGGGGAGGGAGGGAUGCAGCUCGCGGGGUUGAGCGUUGAGUGCAUGUGGUGUGAUAGUAUAAUGGGUCUUGAGCUGACAUCUUGGAGUUAAAUGUCAC
rnacentral:lncRNA from 1 species